rnacentral:rRNA from 1 species
UACGUAGGCAGCAAGCGUUGUUCGGAAUUACUGGGCGUAAAGAGUGUGUAGGCGGUGCUCUAAGUUCGGUGUGAAAUCUCCCGGCUCAACUGGGAGGGUGCGCCGGAAACUGGGGUGCUGGAGCGCGGGAGAGGAAAGCGGAAUUCCUGGUGUAGCGGUGAAAUGCGUAGAUAUCAGGAGGAACACCGGCGGUGUAGACGGCUUUCUGGACCGUAGCUGACACUGUGACACGAAAGCGUGGGUAGCAAACAGG